UCUGGUUGAUCCUGCCAGUAGUUAUAUGCUUGUCUCAAAGAUUAAGCCAUGCAUGUCUAAGUACACCGAAUUAAAAGUGAAACCGCAAAAGGCUCAUUAUAUCAGUUAUGGUUCCUUAGAUCGUUAACAGUUACUUGGAUAACUGUGGUAAUUCUAGAGCUAAUACAUGCAAUUAAAAACAUGAACUUAUGGACAUGUGCUUUAUUAGGCUAAAACCAAGCGAUCGCAAGAUCGUUAUAUUGGUUGAAACUCUAGAUAACAUGCAGAUCGUAUGGUCUUGUACCGACGACAGAUCUUUCAAAUGUCUGCCCUAUCAACUUUUGAUGGUAGUAUCUAGGACUACCAUGGUUGCAACGGGUAACGGGGAAUCAGGGUUCGAUUCCGGAGAGGGAGCCUGAGAAACGGCUACCACAUCUAAGGAAGGCAGCAGGCGCGUAAAUUACCCACUCCCAGCUCGGGAGGUAGUGACGAAAAAUAACAAUACAGGACUCAUAUCCGAGGCCCUGUAAUUGGAAUGAGUACACUUUAAAUCCUUUAACAAGGACCAAUUGGAGGGCAAGUCUGGUGCCAGCAGCCGCGGUAAUUCCAGCUCCAAUAGCGUAUAUUAAAGUUGUUGCGGUUAAAACGUUCGUAGUUGAACUUGUGCUUCAUACGGGUAGUACAACUUACAAUUGUGGUUAGUACUAUACCUUUAUGUAUGUAAGCGUAUUACCGGUGGGUUCUUAUAUGUGAUUAAAUACUUGUAUUUUUUCAUAUGUUCCUCCUAUUUAAAAACCUGCAUUAGUGCUCUUAAACGAGUGUUAUUGUGGGCCGGUACUAUUACUUUGAACAAAUUAGAGUGCUUAAAGCAGGCUUCAAAUGCCUGAAUAUUCUGUGCAUGGGAUAAUGAAAUAAGACCUCUGUUCUGCUUUCAUUGGUUUUCAGAUCAAGAGGUAAUGAUUAAUAGAAGCAGUUUGGGGGCAUUAGUAUUACGACGCGAGAGGUGAAAUUCUUGGACCGUCGUAAGACUAACUUAAGCGAAAGCAUUUGCCAAAGAUGUUUUCAUUAAUCAAGAACGAAAGUUAGAGGUUCGAAGGCGAUCAGAUACCGCCCUAGUUCUAACCAUAAACGAUGCCAGCUAGCAAUUGGGUGUAGCUACUUUUAUGGCUCUCUCAGUCGCUUCCGGGAAACCAAAGCUUUUGGGCUCCGGGGAAGUAUGGUUGCAAAGCUGAAACUUAAAGGAAUUGACGGAAGGCACCACCAGGAGUGGAGCCUGCGGCUUAAUUUGACUCAACACGGGAAAACUUACCAGGUCCGAACAUAAGUGUGUAAGACAGAUUGAUAGCUCUUUCUCGAAUCUAUGGUGGUGGUGCAUGGCCGUUCUUAGUUCGUGGAGUGAUUUGUCUGGUUAAUUCCGAUAACGAACGAGACUCAAAUAUAUUAAAUAGAUAUCUUCAGGAUUAUGGUGCUGAAGCUUAUGUAGCCUUCAUUCAUGUUGGCAGUAAAAUGCUUAUUGUGUUUGAAUGUGUUUAUGUAAGUGGAGCCGUACCUGUUGGUUUGUCCCAUUAUAAGGACACUAGCUUCUUAAAUGGACAAAUUGCGUCUAGCAAUAAUGAGAUUGAGCAAUAACAGGUCUGUGAUGCCCUUAGAUGUCCUGGGCUGCACGCGCGCUACAAUGAAAGUAUCAACGUGUAUUUCCUAGACCGAGAGGUCCGGGUAAACCGCUGAACCACUUUCAUGCUUGGGAUUGUGAACUGAAACUGUUCACAUGAACUUGGAAUUCCAGUAAGUGUGAGUCAUUAACUCGCAUUGAUUACGUCCCUGCCCUUUGUACACACCGCCCGUCGCUACUACCGAUUGAAUUAUUUAGUGAGGUCUCCGGACGUGAUCACUGUGACGCCUUGCGUGUUACGGUUGUUUCGCAAAAGUUGACCGAACUUGAUUAUUUAGAGGAAGUAAAAGUCGUAACAAGGUUUCCGUAGGUGAACCUGCGGAAG
rnacentral:rRNA from 1 species